rnacentral:tRNA from 1 species
GCUGGGAUAGCUCAGUUGGUAGAGCACACCCUUGGUAAGGGUGAGGUCGUCGGUUCAAUCCCGAUUCCCAGCU